GAAUGCAAUGACCCAGAUAUUAAAUUGACAGGACUUUAAAUAAAGACGCAGUAUCCACAAGCAAUCCUCCUGAUGACUAAUUCGAAAAAACAGCUGUCGUCAAUUGAGAGGAAACUUAUCACAACUCAACGAAGAAAUGACAGCUAUGAACAGAUCUGGAUUCCUCCUCUGUUGUUUCUUGUGCUUCUUUCGAAUAAGUCAAAUAAGUUCAUCCAUAACAGCUAUAGGGUCCACCCCAGUAACAUUGUGUGCUGAAGAUGUGUUGGUUUUUCUACAGCAUCUGAAUGUAUCUACUGCGGAUGGUUCGUGUUAUUAUAAUACAACAAAAGGACACAUGCCUUCUUGCAAAAUAUGACUCAAGGUAAUUUUUUCCUACGUUAGUCUACUCUAAUUUGUUUUGUAGAAAUUAACUGACAUCAGAUGAA